rnacentral:lncRNA from 1 species
GAGAGACUACACAAGGAUGCUUCUCAUCCUGAAGGUCACUGAGAGCUCUCCAGAAAGCCCUGCAAUGACAAAGUCUUUCUCAUGCAUUUUUUGCACCUGGAAUUGCUUGCUGUCUCUCUGUCAGCUGGAUGAAAAGAGAAUGUUGGAAGCAGAGGGAUCUGUUGAUUCCUUCUUUUUCCCAGCAGCAGAAAAUGACAACUUGCAGAAGAAGCACAUGGCAAGUGGCCUGGACUUGCCUAGCUAAAUCUGAGUCCUUCAAUUCCAAGAUGCCUUCCUACUUUCUCUUUCCUUUUCUGAGAUAUUUGCAAUGCCCAACUUUGGAUAGGUGGAGGGGUUACUUUGAAGUCAAUACUGAGUUUAAGAAUUCAAAACUUUGAGAGUUGGGCACUAGACUUAUAGAGAAUAUUUUUUUCAUCACAAUCUUCAGAGAAGAAGAGAAUGCUCUCAAAAGGAUUGUCUAACAGCUAGAAGACUAAUGCCAAGUCAUGAGGGUCUAGGAUAUCUAUACUUGCUAAACCUCCACUAUAUUGCUAUGAAAUAUUCAGAUAGUGCAGGUGAAUGGGUCCAACAAUUCUAUAAAAUGUACUUUACUUUGUAUGGGUAGAUGGAGUCUAAAUAAUUUAAUAGUCUAAUCAAGAAUUUCACAAAAGUGAGUAAGAGGGUCCCUAAAUCUUGCAUAUAGAUCAGUGGCUAGGAUUAUACCAUGGUCUCCUCUACCUAUCCCUCCUCCUUGGUACCCAGCAUCUUUUUCUACUACCAGCUUCUCUGGGGCCCUGAAUUUUCCUGCUACCCAGGCUCCUCUUGUAAUUUUACCUGGUGCUCUGCCUUGUCCUUGUACCUGGGAAAGGGGGGUGAAAUCUUCACCUCUGGGCUUUAAUUAUAUCCAAGUGCAGCUUCUGCUGAGUGAUCACUCCUCUUUUUCUAAGCAGCCCUCUCUCUCUUUUUUCUAGAGCAUUUUCUUUAUGUUAUUAGAGCUGUCUAUAAAAUAUGAAUCCCAAUUCCAUGAUCGUCAUAAAAACCAUAAAAUUCUAUGCCUGCCAUGAAAAUAUUACAUGAUUUAUUUUUGUGUGGAGUACAUAUUAAAUCUCAGGGCUGGAAUCGUCAUUUGCCUCUUCAACAUUAAGAACUUUUAAUAACACAUACUUUGCCCUAAAUUGCUAUUAUUUUAGGUUCUUUUCUUCAUUUUACAAUAACUCUCAUUUCAAAAUAGUAUCAGAAAGUAGGACUGGUCCUAUUUAUAGGUAAAAAUUAAUAUGCCUCACAGCUGUUUUUUUCACCUUUUAUGGUUUUUCAUUUUUUUG